GUUUUUCUAAAGUAAACAGCAUUUUAAAUCUCCAUGGUAACCUGUAACGAUGUAAAAACUUUAAAUCAUUACAAGCCAAAGAGAGCGGUCAUUUCUGAAGAUCAAAUCUGAAGAGAACAGCACGAAAAACUUAAGCGGCUCACGACCUUCCAACUUUUGACGGCUUCAUCGUAAAUAAAACCUCACCAGACGACUAAGGACUCGGACAAACACCUCUAACCAACACCUGAACAGAGAGGACAACAUCUACGACAUGGAGACCGUAAGAUUUCAUGACAAUAUUAGCAUACAAACUUGUGUUACUGUCGAGACUUUCGUGAUGGUUAAGCGAUGCAUCGACAAGGAUUAAAUGUAUGCAUGGAUAUUUACAGUGUUUAUGACUUUAAUGUGACAGGCAUUAUCAAAACUAGAAAAAAUUGCAUUUCCUUGCAGAAAAUGCGUGGAAAUGCUGAGUGCUGAAAGCUGAAAAAGCAAUGCUAAACUGCUUUAAAAAAAAAUGGAGGAAGGUUUAAAUGUAAAAUUGGUUAAAGAGCUGGAGAAAGAAAAGUAGAAGUUAGAUGAAAGUGAAAAUUGCUGAAGUACAAAUAGUAUGAAUGUGCUUCAUAAAUUAAAAUUGCAUUCAUGCUAAAUAAGGCUAGAAAAACUGUCUGAAAUUGCAAAAAAAAAUUGUAUAAGGAAGAAAAUUACCUUAAAACACAGAAAAGUAAGAAGCGGCAUAAGUUUAAGUUGAAGUACUAGAAGAAGUAUGAUAAUAGGUAGUUGUACUAGUGAUAUUAGUAGUCAUGUAAGCAGUAGAAGUAGUUUUAGAAUAGAAGAAGUAGAAGUCAAAGCAGUAGAGCUCGUGGUAGAAGUAAAAAAAAUAUUAAGAGACGCAAGAGCAGUGGAGGUAGAAGUGAAGAUACAAGUUAAAGUGAUAUAAGUAGUAAUUGUAGUGGUAGAACUGGGAUUUUGUUUGAAGAAUUAAAACAUACAUAAAUAAUGAGAAUGAUUUUGAAAUGGGAAACAUUUUAAAUAAUUAGAAGUCCUAAAGUGUUAAACAGUUUUGAAGUAUCAGAAAGGUUUGAGUCAGUUUCAAUGAGUUUGGAUUUGUCUGACGAAUUUAAUAAUGCAUGAAUAAUGUGAAUAAUUUUAAAGUGGGGAAAAGUUUAAGAAAAAAAAUCCUGAGUACACCCAAUAAUGUCCUCAAUGAGCUGAAUUUUUGAAGCCCAGAAUGGUUUCUGUAGCUCAAAGUUUGUGGGUGGAGAUAGGUGGUGAUGCAGAAACAUAUUAAUUGUGUGUACAUGCAGGUCUUUUAGACACAGACACACACGCACACACAUUGUCAGACUGUUUGUGUGUGUGUCUCGUUAAUGAUUGCAUCCUAAACAGCUGUGAGAUCAAAGGCAUUAACUGACCUACUGUUUGAAUGAGAAGCUGCCUCUGGACUUCUUCACAUAGCAUGAUUUCCUUAUAUCCCAGAAUGAAAAUAAGAACAUCGUACGAAUCCUCUGCCCUUCAUGAACACAAUGAAUGUGGCCACAACAGUGAGUUAAAAGUCUAGACGUUCGGAUGGUUAUCUUAAAAGUGAUGCAUUGACAUCACAUGAAAGUCCUGCCCACCAUGUCAAAGACUCUUCGUGCUUAAGAGCAGAAAAGCUCAUGUUAUUGUGAGAAAUCUCUAUAAGAGGUUUUUUAUGUCUUCUGGGCUAUUUAAAGCCGUCAGUCUGAAACUUAUUUGACAGUUUCUUUUAUACUAACCAAUGCUUUCUUAUUUCUUCUUUAAAUCUGCACAGAAGAGUCAACCCAUUACUGUAAAAGGAGAAGCUCCGAGAAUUGCGUGCUCGAGCUUCAACAGGAGGUAAGAAACACGUUUAACUUAUGAUGACAGUAAAAUGCAAACUCAAAUUUAUAGGGGUGUGAUAUUAAACAGUAGUUUAACAAUGUGUCUCUAAAACAAUCUUUUACCUCUUUUGCAUUUAAUAUGCAGAGUGUAACAUUUGAAACAUGACAGAGACCUCCCAGCAGAUUAUAAUCUGAGACAGUUCAGAGUUAAAUCUGUGACAGUGCCAGCAAAAAUCUAAAGAUUUGCAAAUUUAGGAUUUGAUUUUGGACUUACACUGUGUUGUGUUUCGUACUCUUUUUGUCACAAGACACAUAUAUUUAUGUGAUACAUUUCAGUGGUUAUUUUAACUGAAUAAGACAAUUCAAAGGCUUCACAUAAGACAUUUACUGAUCAAUUAAUCAGUCAGACAAAGGAAAUGUGUAAAAACACUAAAUGAAAUAAAGUUUUAUCAUCGUUUGCUCUUACUGGGAGUCUCUAGUCAAAAACUAGUAAAGAAGAAUAGCAGAGACUAGUAAUGGGAGUGUGCUAAAUAACCGUGCAAGAUUAACGAAGACAGGGCCCAUAUCUUCUUAACGGUAAGACAAUGUGUAAAUUAGUGACUAAUGUGAACGUCUAGCUCAAAAAGGAUAGUCGAAUUCGGGGCGUGGAAAGAAAAAGUGAGGAGUAAAACCCGGAGCCCAGGGUAAUUGGCAAAUAAAUGAUGAAAAGAGAUAAAGAGUAAAAGAGAUAAAGAAGAAAAGAGAAAAAGGCUGAAAUGGCCCAGGAAUAAAGAAGAGAAAAAGUUAAAGAGACAAAGUGAAAAAGAGAAAAAGGCUGAGAUGGCCUAGGCUGAGAUGGCCGAAAAAGAGAAAAAGUUAACUUAAUGUUAGGGAAGUCGUGAUUGGGCAUAACAAACCGGUAAGGACAGUUUAAAGAAAAAAAAAAGGCCUAUAUACUAUAGUAAGGAAACAUUGAGCUCAGUGAGACGAGGUGUGCUGAAGUUUGAGUGUGUGAGAGAAGCUUCUGGUGUGUGUGUGAAAGGAGUGUGUGUAUGGGUGCUGAGUGUGAGUGUAAAAGAGUCUGUGUGUAGUAAGUGGUGUGUGCACAAAGUUGGG